AGUGAACGCUGGCGGUAGGCCUAACACAUGCAAGUCGAACGGCAGCACAGUAAGAGCUUGCUCUUACGGGUGGCGAGUGGCGGACGGGUGAGGAAUACAUCGGAAUCUACUUUUUCGUGGGGGAUAACGUAGGGAAACUUACGCUAAUACCGCAUACGACCUACGGGGGAAAUCAGUGGAUCUUCUGACCUUGCGCGAUUGAAUGAGCCGAUGUCGGAUUAGCUUGUUGGCGGGGUAAAGGCCCACCAAGGCGACGAUCCGUAGCUGGUGUGAGAGGAUGAUGCGCCACACUGGAACUGAGACACGGUCCAGACUCCUACGGGAGGCAGCAGUGGGGAAUAUUGGACAAUGGGCGCAAGCCUGAUCCAGCCAUACCGCGUGGGUGAAGAAGGCCUUCGGGUUGUAAAGCCCUUUUGUUGGGAAAGAAAAGCAGCAGGUUAAUACCCCGCUGUUCUGACGGUACCCAAAGAAUAAGCACCGGCUAACUUCGUG
rnacentral:rRNA from 1 species